rnacentral:rRNA from 1 species
AUUGAACGCUGGCGGCAGGCCUAACACAUGCAAGUCGAGCGAGUGGCGGACGGGUGAGUAAUGUCUGGGAAACUGCCUGAUGGAGGGGGAUAACUACUGGAAACGGUGGCUAAUACCGCAUACCAUCGGAUGUACCCAGAUGGGAUUAGCUAGUAGGUGGGGUAAAGGCUCACCUAGGCGACGAUCCCUAGCUGGUCUGAGAGGAUGAUCAGCCACACUGGAACUGAGACACGGCCCAGACUCCUACGGGAGGCAGCAGUGGGGAAUAUUGCACAAUGGGCGCAAGCCUGAUGCAGCCAUGCCGCGUGUAUGAAGAAGGCCUUCGGGUUGUAAAGUACUUUCAGCGGGGAGGCGUUACCCGCAGAAGAAGCACCGGCUAACUCCGUGCCAGCAGCCGCGGUAAUAC